rnacentral:sRNA from 1 species
UUAUUGACAUUAAAUGUCACAAUGAUCCAGUUAUUAGCCUUCUAUCAUUUAUUUUACUAUUACUCACAUUGCCGGCAUUUAUGCCGGUUUUUUUA